GCCUAGGGAUCUGCCCAGUCGAGGGGGAUAACAGUUGGAAACGACUGCUAAUACCGCAUACGCCCUACGGGGGAAAGGAGGGGACCUUCGGGCCUUUCGCGAUUGGAUGAACCUAGGUGGGAUUAGCUAGUUGGUAAGGUAAUGGCUUACCAAGGCGACGAUCCCUAGCUGUUCUGAGAGGAUGAUCAGCCACACUGGGACUGAGACACGGCCCAGACUCCUACGGGAGGCAGCAGUGGGGAAUCUUGCGCAAUGGGCGAAAGCCUGACGCAGCGACGCCGCGUGCGGGAAGAAGGCCUU
rnacentral:rRNA from 1 species